AAGUCGUAACAAGGUUUCCGUAGGUGAACCUGCGGAAGGAUCAUUAAAAAGGGAAACUUUUUUAAAACUUUUGUGAACUUUUGUAGCCUUCUCUCAAAGGAGGGGGGGAGAGAGGAGAAGGCAAAAAAAAUAUUGUAUAGAUAUAUAACAUAUAUUAACUUUUUUACAACUUUUAGUAACGGAUCUCUAGGUUCUC
rnacentral:misc_RNA from 1 species